AUGCCGGUCAGGGUGGUCGACACCGCCACCCCUUCCUCGCAGUCCUCAUCAGGACAAGAGGCAAAUGCUGUGCAGCCGUCUCCUCCUAGCUGCUCACUCUUAACUGCUGGAAGAUGUUUUGCAGGAACUCAGAAUGUUUCAAGUUUACAAAAAGAUGAAGCAUGGAAAGUCAAUGUUCGUAUCCAUGGUUGUGAUAUUGAACAGGGUUAUUUAUGUGGAACAAUGGAGGCACUUAAUGUUCCCUUAGCCGACACACCUGUGGUGACAUUCUGGGAGGGGGAGAUAGUAGAUGCUAAAAAUUAUACUUUUUUUACUGGCAAGUGGGAGGCAUCAGCAGAGGAUGAUGUAAGACACUGGUCCAAGUUCCCAUCAUUUACCCCUCUUCUGAGUCAGAUUGAGGCAGAUGGUGGCAAGUCUGUGGACCUUAGCAACUAUCCUUAUAUAUUUAUGAGAUGGAAAGAGCAGUACUUUGUUAAUGUGGGAGUGGACUGCGGGUUGACCAUAGCUGGUUUCUAUUACGUCUGCUUUUCUUGUAGCGAUGGAUCCAUUAGUGGCUUUUAUUACGACCCAAACAGCAGUCCAUUUCAGAAGCUUGAAUUGAAGUGCACCAACGAGAAACAAUCUGGGUUCACCUUUUCUUCGUAUGAGCUGCAGUGA
rnacentral:rRNA from 1 species